rnacentral:pre_miRNA from 9 species
UCUCGAUAGCGUAAAAGUUAACUCAAUUUUAUAUGAACUUGGAACGUUUGCCUACGUUUGCCGCUAGGGGCGCUGUUUCAACUGAAUACAAAUUCGAGUUAACUUUUACGCUAUCGA